rnacentral:lncRNA from 1 species
CCAUGACAUUCCGCGAAGAUCCCACGAGCUCUGUGAUAUUUUGUGAGCUCUUGGCUUUUUCCUUUGGCUGGCUUUCUGAAAUGAAAUGGUAUCUCCCUACCCCUCUCUCUAUAUAUACAUAUAAGCUAUUGGAUUUAGUUUGGGCCUGUGUUUCCUUUAGCUAAUUUAAUUGAUUUGUUUGAAUCUUACUUUUUUAGUACAUGUUUAUCGUUUAAUUUUACUUUUCCCCCCCCCCUCUCUCCAUCUUUUUUUUUUUUCUCCCGCAACUGCCUCUCUUGUAUGCUCUUUUCUCCCUCCAAUCUGUUGUGGGAUUUGCAUUUUGACAGGACAACCUUCUUAUAUUUCCAUGGGCUAACUUCUACAACUUUCAUGUAGAUACAAUACGUUUGCAAGUAUACCUUUGUUUAUGUUUAUUAUAAAAAUUUUAAAAAUAACUAUUUCAUUUAAUAGCUUGUAAUAUGAUUUUCCACAAAAUACAAAAAACAAUAGAAAUAGUGGUGGUG